UGGGGAAUUUUGGACAAUGGGCGAAAGCCUGAUCCAGCAAUGCCGCGUGUGUGAAGAAGGCCUUCGGGUUGUAAAGCACUUUUGUCCGGAAAGAAAUCCUCUGGGGUUAAAUACCCUCGGGGGGAGUGACGGUACCGGAAGAAUAAGCACCGGCUAACUACGUGCCAGCAGCCGCGGUAAUACGUAGGGUGCAAGCGUUAAUCGGAACUACUGGGCGUAAAGCGUGCGCAGGCGGUUUUGUAAGACGGAUGUGAAAUCCCCGGGCUUAACCUGGGAACUGCAUUCGUGACUGCAAGGCUAGAGUAUGGCAGAGGGGGGUAGAAUUCCACGUGUAGCAGUGAAAUGCGUAGAGAUGUGGAGGAAUACCGAUGGCGAAGGCAGCCCCCUGGGCCAAUACUGACGCUCAUGCACGAAAGCGUGGGGAGCAAAACAGGAUUAGAUACCCUGGUAGUCCACGCCCUAAACGAUGUCAACUAGUUGUUGGGGAUUCAUUCCUUAGUAACGUAGCUAACGCGUGAAGUUGACCGCCUGGGGAGUACGGUCGCAAGAUUAAAACUCAAAUGAAUUGAC
rnacentral:rRNA from 1 species